rnacentral:rRNA from 1 species
UACGUAGGGGGCAAGCGUUGUCCGGAAUUAUUGGGCGUAAAGAGCGCGUAGGCGGUCCGGUAAGUCGGUUGUGAAAGUCGGGGGCUCAACCCUCGGAUGCCGAUCGAUACUGUCGGGCUAGAGUCCGGAAGAGGCGAGUGGAAUUCCUGGUGUAGCGGUGAAAUGCGCAGAUAUCAGGAAGAACACCCGUGGCGAAAGCGGCUCUCUGGAACGGUACUGACGCUGAGACGCGAAAGCGUGGGGAGCGAACAGG